AUUGAACGCUGGCGGAAUGCUUUACACAUGCAAGUCGAACGGUAGAGGGGGCAACCCCUCGAGAGUGGCGAACGGGUGAGUAAUAUAUCGGAACGUGCCCAGUCGUGGGGGAUAACGUAGCGAAAGUUACGCUAAUACCGCAUACGAUCUAAGGAUGAAAGCGGGGGAUCGCAAGACCUCGCGCGAUUGGAGGGGCCGAUAUAAGAUUAGGUAGUUGGUGGGGUAAAGGCUCACCAAGCCAACGAUCUGUAGCUGGUCUGAGAGGACGACCAGCCACACUGGAACUGAGACACGGUCCAGACUCCUACGGGAGGCAGCAGUGGGGAAUUUUGGACAAUGGACGCAAGUCUGAUCCAGCCAUUCCGCGUGCAGGAUGAAGGCCCUCGGGUUGUAAACUGCUUUUGUACGGAACGAAAAGGUCUCUCUUAAUACGGGGGACUCAUGACGGUACCGUAAGAAUAAGCACCGGCUAACUACGUGCCAGCCGCCGCCGUAAAAC
rnacentral:rRNA from 1 species